AUUGCAUUUAGGCUUCAAACUUCAUAAAAGUUAUGUUCAUUUGUGAAAAUUAUCUUGGAAAAAACGUGUUAGCAAUGUAAACUUUUGUUAAUCACAGAGUUUUUGUUUUUUUUUGCAAUAAUCUAAAAGUCUAUGGGAAAAUCCUAUUGAGUUUUUGUCGAGGGAACCAGUGUGAUGCUAACUUCCGGGUUCCGGUACAAAAUGACGUCAACCCUGCACCACUCUAUUGGGUGAUUUGGCUGCGUCUCUCCUCCAGUAAACACUUAUUGCAUUUUCUGCAAAGGCCUGAUUUUUUUUCAUUUGGGUGCAUAGUGUUAUAUUUGGUUGAUUGCAUAUUUAUUUUUACUUAUAUUUUGGAUACAAUUUUACUUAUAUUUUGCUUGUACGCGAUGAUGCACUUUAAGGACCAGUCUAACUUGAUGCACAGAUUAGUACAUUAGCAGGAAUGUAGCACAACAUGGAGGUGAAAGCAGUGGUCUGUUUAUUUAAAUGUGAAAGUGCAAAAAAAAAAAAAAAAAAAAAAAGUGUCCCUAAAAUCAAUGAAAAUUCAUGAUAAAUAAUCGUGAUCUCCAUAUUUAUAAAAUAAUCGUGAUCAUAAUUUUGGCCAUAAUAAGUAUGUAAAUUUUAUUUAUAAAACAUAUUUAACAUAGUGAAGCUAACCAAAGUGCUGAACAGAGUAAAGAAAAGUAAAAGAGAAAACAGAAUAAACCAAAUAAAGACAGACAAUGGUAAAAAAUUUGACUGAAAUGCCUGGGAGAAGAGAUAUGUUUUCAGCCUCAUUUUAAAAAUAGUAACUGAAGGUGCAAGGCGGAUGUAAGAUAAGAUAAGAUAACCUUUAUUGAUCUCACACUUGGGAAAUUCCCUCGUUACAGCAGCUCAAUUACACAAAAAACAGAUAGGAAAGAAUACACAUUAAAUAGGAAUAGAAUUGAAAUAAAAGUAUCUAUCUAUCUAUAUCUCUCUCUCUCUCUCUCUCUCUCUCUCUCUCUCUCUCUCUCUCU
ensembl:lncRNA